AAGGUGUGCGCCAGGUUGUGCACCGCGGCCUUGGUCGCCGCGUACACGGAGGCGCCCGGCAGACCGUGGUGCAGCGUCCACGACGCGUUG
rnacentral:tRNA from 1 species